rnacentral:rRNA from 1 species
AAGGCGCAGCUAGCUGCGUGAUUUAGUGUGAAUUGCAGGACACAUUGAGCAUCGACGAUCUGAACGCGAAUUGCGGCCUCGGGUUAAUCCCGGGACCGCGCCCGCCUCAGGGUCG